rnacentral:tRNA from 1 species
GCCUUACAAGCAGAGGGUCGGCGGUUCGAGCCCGUCAUCCUCCACCA